rnacentral:rRNA from 1 species
CCUAGAUGAUUUUAGUGCUUGCACUAAAUGAAACUAGAUACAAGCGAGCGGCGGACGGGUGAGUAACACGUGGGUAACCUGCCCAAGAGACUGGGAUAACACCUGGAAACAGAUGCUAAUACCGGAUAACAACACUAGACGCAUGUCUAGAGUUUGAAAGAUGGUUCUGCUAUCACUCUUGGAUGGACCUGCGGUGCAUUAGCUAGUUGGUAAGGUAACGGCUUACCAAGGCAAUGAUGCAUAGCCGAGUUGAGAGACUGAUCGGCCACAUUGGGACUGAGACACGGCCCAAACUCCUACGGGAGGCAGCAGUAGGGAAUCUUCCACAAUGGACGAAAGUCUGAUGGAGCAACGCCGCGUGAGUGAAGAAGGGUUUCGGCUCGUAAAGCUCUGUUGGUAGUGAAGAAAGAUAGAGGUAGUAACUGGCCUUUAUUUGACGGUAAUUACUUAGAAAGUCACGGCUAACUACGUGCCAGCAGCCGCGGUAAUACGUAGGUGGCAAGCGUUGUCCGGAUUUAUUGGGCGUAAAGCGAGUGCAGGCGGUUCAAUAAGUCUGAUGUGAAAGCCUUCGGCUCAACCGGAGAAUUGCAUCAGAAACUGUUGAACUUGAGUGCAGAAGAGGAGAGUGGAACUCCAUGUGGUA